UCAGUAGCGGCGAGUGAAGCGGGAAAAGCCCAUCGCCGAAUCCCCGCGUCCCAGUGGCGUGUGGGAAAUGUGGCGUAAGAAAGCCGUGGCUAACCGGGGACGCGGAGCCGACGUCCUUGUGAAGGAGGCUCUCAUCCCAUAGAGUGUGUUAGGCCCCCGCAGGCGCCCGUCGCCGGUGGCCUUAAGGCUUUCAAGAGUCGGGUUGUUUUGGAAUGCAGCCCAAAGACGGGUGGUAAACUCCAUCCAAGGCUAAAUACUAGGCACGAGACCGAUAGAUAACAAGUACCAUGAGGGAAAGUUGAAAAGAACUUUGAAGAGAGAGUUCAAUAGGACGUGAAGCUGCCGAGAAGUAAACGGAAAGGCCCCGCACACCGUGGCCGGGAGAUUCAGCGCAAGGGGAGGUUUCGGCGCCCCGUUCCGUCUGCGGAUUCCCCUCGGGAACCCUGGCGGAGUGGGUCGAUGCAGCCGCCCGUCGCGCGCAUUUCUCCCGUGCCUCUGGGGUUGGCGACCGACCGUUGACCGGCCGAUUGGACGCGGCGAAGGCAGGUAACUCAUCUGGUCUUCGGGCCCGAAGAGAACGUAUAGUCUCGCCGUCCGCAUCGGUCGCAAGGUCGAGGAAAGAUGACCACGUGCCGCGCCUGCUCGGUCUUCGGACCAGGGCUGGAGCCGCCGGACUCCCGCUCGUACGGCGUACGGGGACUGUCCUCAGUGCCCGCUCGCUCGUGCGGUCGAGAAAGGCCGGAUCGCCUCUCAGCGCAC
rnacentral:rRNA from 1 species